rnacentral:tRNA from 1 species
GAGAAAGUAACUCAGUUGGUAGAGUAUUGGUCUGUCACGCCAAAAGUCGCGGGUUCAAUUCCCGUCUUUCU